rnacentral:rRNA from 1 species
AUACCGGCUGCUCGAGUGAUGGCCACUAUUACUGGGUUUAAAGCGUCCGUAGCUUGACUGUUAGGUCUCUUGGGAAAUCUUUUGGCUUAACCAAAAGGCGUCUAAGAGAUACCGGCAUUCUUGGAACUGGGAGAGGUAAGCCGUACUUCGGGGGUAGGAGUGAAAUCUUGUAAUCCUCGAGGGACGACCUAUGGCGAAGGCAGCUUACCAGAACAGCUUCGACAGUGAGGGACGAAAGCUGGGGGAGCAAACGGGAUGAGAUACCCCGGUAGUCCCAGCCGUAAACAAUGUGCGUUAGGUGUGUCGGUUACCACGCGUAACUGAUGCGCCGAAGAGAAAUCGUGAAACGCACCACCUGGGAAGUACGGUCGCAAGGCUGAAACUUAAAGGAAUUGGCGGGG